rnacentral:rRNA from 1 species
CCUACGGGUGGCAGCAGUCGAGAAUCAUUGUCAAUGGGGGAAACCCUGAUCGUGCGAAGCCGCGUGGGGGAAUGAAGGACUUCGGAUUGUAAACCUCUGUUAUGUGGGAACAAAUUAAAAAGAUAGUACCACAAUAGGAAUAGAUGGCUAACUCUGUGCCAGUAACCGCGUUAAUACAGAGGCGUCAAGCGGUGUUCGGCAUCACUGGGCGUAAAGCGUGCGUAGGCUGGUGCGUACAGCGGGUGGGAAAGGUCCGGGGUCAAACCGCGGAGGGCACAGGAUACUGGGAGUCUAGAGUAAGGGAGGGGGAACCGGAAUGCUCGGUGUAGCGGUGAAAUGCGUAGAUAUCGAGAAGAACACUCAUGGCGAAGGCGGGUUCCUGGACAUUAACUGACGCUGAGGCACGAAGGCCAGGGGAGCGAAAGGGAUUAGAUACCCGGGUAGUC